ACAGAGCCAGUGGUCUGAAAAUGAAUCUGUCCCAGGUACUUGCACCUUUAUUAUUAUCUCACUUAUUCUCCACAGAAAUCCACUGUUGGUUUUCUUUUUUCUUCCAUCCUCCCUCCCUUCCUCCCUCCCUCUCUUCCUUCCUUUUUUCUUUCAUUGCAUCAUUACCCCAUUUUGAAAACUUAAACAGAUAAUAGUUAUGAAAUAAUUCAAGUUGGAAUGAAUUAAAUUACACACAAAAAUCAACUCAGAGAAAGAAAGGUUAGAAAAGAUGGGUGAAUUGACAGUAUCAGAGCAGGGGGAUAUUAGGCAAGCCUGGAAAGAUACUACAGAUAUAAAGGCUCUCUCAGCUUUCCUCUCUUAGGACUUCAUUGCCCUCUCUUAUCUCCAGAAACUUAGAUAUCUGUUUUGAUAAGCUUCCUUAUCAAAACACUCUAAAUCCUAAGAAUUGUAAGGUUUUUUUGUACUCCCCAGGACUGUGGAUUUAAACUUGCAAGAGUUUAAAAUCAAUUAUUAAUAUCAGUAGAAUAAGUGAGUUUUUAUAAUUUAUUUAAUGAAACACAUUUCUAGAUACUCAAACACAAGUCUAAAGCCAACAGUGAAAUCCCAAGGGGAGCAGUAGUUUUCUUUGGCUCUGAGUUGACACACAGGAUACGGUUCUCAAAAUGGGGAGAAAGUACCCUCAGGUAAGUCCUACAAUUCCCACCUACUACUUAUACUUUCCUGCUCUGUGAAGUGGGAAAUAGGGGCCAGUCACUCACCAAAGAUCAGAUGACCAGGCAUUAAGGAAGAAGGAUAUUGGAAACAAGCCCAGGUCUGUUUUGUGAAAUAGUUUGUAAACUUCCUAUUAACUUCUGUAAGCUCAAUUAACAGCCUUUAAUGGUUAAUGGAACUAUCCUCUCCUUAUUGCCUUUUGUACCAAAUGUGAGGAAGGCAGGGUCUGAAGGCAUAGAUAGGCUGUCAUGAGGCUCCUUUAAAAUGAUGAGGGAAAGAAGUAUAUAUUUCAGGUAAGUUCAGCCAUUGCUGGUUGUGAUUAGGACCUUGGAGAAGCCACAGGACAGCAUUCUUCUUUCCACGCCACAGGGAUGUGUGCUGGAUUGCUGUCUGGCAAGGACUUUGAGUGUGAAAAGUGAAGUGCACACAGUAGGUUACAGAUUUGGGCAAUAAGUAAGAGAAUCCCUGAUUCAUGUUUAUGACUGUAAAACAGAUAAAACGUUGCUUCCAAGAUCCAUUCUCCCUCUCCCUUCAUAACAGAGCCACACAUUUGUUGAGAAUAGUGUGAGCACGCAUGUCACACUGGAUCUCAUAUCUGUCUUCACUGGCUAGGUCAAUUAUGACCAUUAGGUUCUUUCAUUUAUAUUAGGUCCUAGGAAGGGCAUAUAUCCAGAAAUGAACUCAAGUUGAACUAUAAAAGGAUUUCUGAAAGUUAGAUAAAUGUUUGUGAAGCAUGUUCCUGUUCACCAAAAGGAGUCAUUUCCCUUAACUCUCGAAGAAUCGAAGCCCAUGAUGCCCUCCAGGUUCUGACAGUCUCUAUUCCUAAGUAUCUAGUAUACAUUUCAAAGACCCCAUCUACCAUACUGGCCCUUUUCACCUCUCUCUCUCUCCUAAACUCCCAGGCCUGCUCCAGCUCUCCAGCCCCCACCCCUUGCCCCAGCUAUUCAGCCUUCUUAUUAUAAGCCCUCAUGAUCUUUAUACCUCCUGUUCUCUCACAGAUAGCCCCGGCCAUGUCCAGUCUGUCUCUUUGUCUCUUGACUCUGGACUCUUCAAGAUGCCUCUGGAUGUUCUCUGUCUCUUAUCUACAAGAAGACCCUUUCCUUUAAUGGAGUAGCUGUUCGGUAGUGUCUUCACUGUGCCCUCUCUUGCAUACACUUUUCACUCUCUGCUGCACAAGGAGUGGCCAUGCAGGAUGUCAGUGGUCUGUCAAGUCCGCUUCUGGAAAGCUUUUCCUAUUCUGGUAAAGAAGACUAGACAUGCGUGACCAUUUUCUCCUCUUUUCCUGCUUUGAAUGCAGAUGUGGUAGGUGGAGCAUGCAGUUGUUUUGAUAUUACAAAAUAGUAAGCAGAGAUGUCAAGCUGCUAAACACACACCAGAAACAGCCGUAAGUUGUUGUCGUGAAGAUAAUUCGAACUCAUUUUUUUACGACAUUGUAGUUGCAUACCCUAUUACUUGUAGCCAAGCACUUCCCUGAAAGUUAAAGGCUAUUUCACCCAUAAACUUACCUCCAUUACACUCAUGGUACAUUACAUAAACUAGUACCACAGCGACACACUGAACUGGUUUAAUCUGGCUCACAUAGCAUAUAACAUGUAAACAAAUGAAGUAAAUCAGUAUCAAAUAGGUGAAAGAAAUUGAUUUUAGACAUUGGGUAAAUUAUGGAAGAUUUCUGUGAAAUGUAUUCUAUUUUGUAAAGAAUAAUGUUGUGGGUUGUGACUGUUCCUUCUUCCAGUUUUUAGGGCAGCAUCCUGUACUUCUGACAAAUUAGUUGACACUAAUUACAUAGGAAUGACAAGGACUUACCACGAAAGCUAGUUUCCCUUUGACCUUGAACCAAAUUAGAGUGAGGCUCCAAGACAUCUGACUGGUCAUGCAGGGCUCAUGGCAUCCUGGCUCGAGAGAGAGCUAAUAUCUAAUGCAGUAGUAGGUCAAUGCAAGAAAAUUCAUUUUACGUCUUAAGGAAAGACUUAAGUAAAUGAAAUGAUAGUAAAUGAAAAUACACACAAAGGCAGGAGUCUAGAGAUCAAAGUUGCUAAAUGAUUAUUUCAAAAGUCCAGUUCUAUGAUUUAUAAAUCAUUUUAGUCUCUUUUGUUUUCUUACCCUGAAUUUUCUUUCUUUCUUUUCUUAAAAAUUCUUUCUUCAAUUGUCAUACUUCUCUUUGAAGGCAUCACCAGCAGGGAGGUUGUCUAGUUUUUCCUGUGAAUUCUUUUGUCAUUCUGAGAAUAGAAAUCAUCCCACGAUGACUUUUUUGUGUGUGUGAAAAAAAGGAAAAGUUAAUAGAGUGCUGUUGUCCAUAACCAAUACUGUUUAGGGGAUGGCUUGGUGUGUUCUCUUUUGUAAUUGCUAUUUUUGUUUUUUUCAUUUAAAGGACUAGAUGAGGACAAUAAAUGUUGUUUUAAAGUGAAGGGAAAUGAACUUUAUAGGCUCCCAAGGCUCUCCAGGUGAGGAAGGUGUCAGAAUGUCUUUGUGUGAUUUGAGAUUGGAAUGUCAACUGUGUCCUCCUCUCCCAAACACAGAUUUACCUGGAAUUCAUUGUGUUACUCACUUGGAAAGCUUGCUUUUUAAAGCCAAGGGUUUUCAUUUCCAGCUCUUGUUCUUGGAAUCACAUUGGGGUUUGCUGAAUUCCAUGGGGUGGCAGAAAGUUGGUGGCAGUGAACACCAAGGGCACUUUGGAGUCAGUUGGGAGAUGCUUCCUUCUUUGGCUGACUGAAGAAUAAAUUCAAGGCUUCAGUCACUCGUGCUUACAGAAGAACAUAUGGUGCAUUCUGCGGAAGGAUGAAACAACCUUCCUGGUAUCAGUCAAAUUUUAGUGAGAGUUACUACAGCCUCUUUACAAGGCCCAGUCAAGUGACAGGGCUCGAUGAAGAGAUGGCUCUUCCAGCAUAAGGUAGCUUGGGAUCCUCCUAACAGGAGGGCUUCUUGGGAUGUGGCAGAUGUGCAAACAACAGCGAAAACCUUGGGCAAUUGAGCAAGACACAGGCACAAAUCAGACCCGCCAUGUUUUGUAGAGUACUGGGUACUAAGGAAGUAAGAAGAAAGCCCUAGAAAGGGGCCACAUUCUUCCUGGGCCUUUGUAUCCAGCAGGCAAAGAGGUUAGCUCUGCAUUAUGCUUGGGGCUGGAGAGGAGGGGAGCAUUAAAAAUCCAGCUAUUACCUAUACUUUUUCUUCUUGGCAAAGAUUUAAAACAAUAGGGCCAACAAGAGGCUCAGCUGACAUUGGUUCUGGAAGAGCAUCAUGUUUGCUUUGUGACUGAGGGGUUGCAAACAGCCAGGCAAAAACUGAAAGUCACGCUUAAAAAGAAAAUUCUAGUCGGGAAACAGAAGACCACGAUCUGGUAGCAGAUAACCAAAAGAGCUCUGUCAAGAAACACGGGCUGAAUAUUUCUUAAGAAGGGUUCUACAUGUGAGAAUAUGGGCCCACUUGGCUUUUCUGCUUUUGCAAUCUUCUGUCUUCUUUUAGAGACACCGGGCCUCCUGCCACGCUCAGUAAGAGAUUUGGCUUCUAAAAGCUUUGGAGACUUCUCUUAAGGUUAAGAGGUUGCUCCUUCAUUUGAUAACCUUAAUCACUGCUUGUUCUGUUGUUCACUCAGCCCAGGAACUGUAAACUGACUGUGUACCCAGCUCUGUGCCGACUGUGAGAGAUCUGCCCUCACAGUGCUUGCUCAUGAUCCAGGCAAAGAAAAGCAGGCAGGUGAAAAGAGUAUGAGCAUCUCGAGCAAUUUUGAGAUUCAGGGAUGCAGAGACGUGUUUGAAGGGCACUCCAAGGAGGACAUCUGACGGACCCAAACAGCUUGAUGUAAACACUGCUUCGGUUUAUUGCAGAGUCCAAGCCCUCCUGUCAGCAUUUUCCAGAGUGCGCUUGAGCUUGGCAGCGGCAAGCACAUCUGCCGCAUUGCAGGAAUAGCUAGAGGUUUCUAAAGCUGUUUCUUUGGGAAGAUUACAGCCUUUCCUUGCCUUCCGUUUUCAGGGGUGGGGAGAAAAAUCUUCCCUACGUGCUAGCCAGCCACUGGGAAAUGAGAUGCCCUUCUCCUCCCUAGCAAAGAGACCACUGUGCGUUGUAAGUUUCACCUAUACAAAACAACAGAGUGAAAUCACAAUGGUGCUGUCCACCGUACAAUAGUCCAUAGUCUCCAUGAGAUUUUCAGUGUUCCCUAGGCCUGACUACAGAAUUGUGUGACAUUCUGAGAGCACAGAUUCACACAAUCUGUGACAAGAACAGAUAGUCAUGCAAUUCCAAUGCUUCCUUCUUUUAGUGUAAUGAGAUUUUAUUAACAUUUUCAGUGGAUUUAGUUUUAUUUGUGUUUCACAUUGGUUAUCUCCCGAAAGUUCUCAUAUUGGGGGUUGCUGCUACGGAUGUACCAGCUAAAUCUUUCUCUCUCUCAUCCUCUCUCUCUCUCUCUCUCUCUCUCUCUCUCUCUCUCUCUCUCUCUCUCUCUCUCUCUCUCUCUCUCUGUGUGUGUGUGUGUUUAAAAUAUGUGAUGAAAUAAUGAAAAAGGGGAAUGGAAUUGUUAAUAUACACAUGCUCCCACGGGAGCAAGGAAGCACUGCAAAUACACACAGUGGCAUCAAAGCAGCAUUUGUUUUGAACCAAAUAAUGCAAAUUAGGUUUACCUCUAUCAGUAUCCCUUUCCACUGAAAUCUACUUUCAAAGAAAUGAAAUAUGGGUUGUCCUUAUUUUUCUACUAAAAAUUAAACCUCACUAAACAAAAUCAAAUUUUUGAAGCUGUCAAUGCUUCUUACACCUGACAGAUUUUUUUCUCUUUCUCUGGCAAGCAUGGUAAAUUUGAAUGUAGAAGAUCCUGGCUAUUCUGGGGAGUUCAAGUUUCUGGAUGCCUGCCUUGACCCCUUCCAUGGGGUGGGAGCCAGUUCAUACUGACAGUCUUUCCGCUCACACUUCUGCAGCCAGUUUUCGUCAGCAAUCAGCUGUGGGCCCCGCCCACACCCCCACACUCCUUUUGUCCUGAUGGUUCCUGCAGGUUUAGCUGUCUUCCCCCACCUUUUCUUGUCUUCCUGUUCCUGUUCUCCGAGAGUUUAUUUUCCAUUUGAAAUCUAUUUUAUUCCUGCGACGGCAGUAUCGAUCCUCUGUCAUAUAGACCACCUGCUUCCUGGGGUCCCCUCCUCACUGUCACACGGACUAUUAUUAGAUGUGGUCACUUUUGAUUAUUCCAGCGCUAGCUGCUGUUUUCCCAGCUGAUGCCACAUCCCCAUCUCAUAUAUCAUCACGAGCAUCUGGGGGGCUCCCUGGCCUUUCCUUUGGCCUGAGAGUGACUCAGAUGCUUGCAAUGAGAGACAAAGAAUAGCCACAUUACCUCAUGAAAGGACACAAAACUUCUGGAGUGUGGGUUGAGAACAAAUAAACCCACAAGGAAAUGUAACUUUUUCAUGGUGCAGAAAAAUGAGAAAGAAGGCAUAUGAUUUCAGGUUUGGCAAACAGUAAUUCUCAUGAGCAUGUUCAUUGUGAGACUUUGAUGAAUGGUCCUCCACUCCAUCCUCCAUCCAGACCUGCAUGCUGUCAAAUUUGCCCCUGCCCUUUCAACAACACAGGAGGACCAAACAAACACAAUUGUCAUUUAAAAAGUAGGGUUAUUGCAGAAAGAUGUAAUAUGUGAUAGCUCUUAUAUACCUAUUUUAAUGCAGGUCUUACCUGGAGAAUGUUGGUUUGACUAAGGGAACUUGGUAAAAAUUGUCUUGCUCAUCAGAAGAAUCAUCGUAGAUGAAAUAGAUCAAUAGCAAAGAUGCCUAAGGGGAUUUAAUUACUCACAGUGAAAUCUUUGAGGCAGCCUCACAAAAAUGCACCUUUCUGAGUACAGAGUGGGAGAGGUACCGUGUCCUUCAUGCUCAUGUCUGUGUUCAGUGCAGUCGUUGUGUUUAAUAUAGCUAGGGCACUAGCAGAAAAGCAGACAUGUUUUAGAAAUGUGGCUUAUCAAUUUCUCCUUGGGCUCCUUGGACCAAAUUUCCUCUCCUAACGACCGCAGAGUGAAUGUUUCUCUGCAUCAGAAAAUGCCCCUCACCCUCCUGCUCAGCAUGUCAUCCUAUACUAUAAAGAACAGCCGCUGAGGCUUUAUGGAGAUUCCCUGGCAAUGGCUUCCAAGCUCAGCUUUAGGUACAGGGAGGACAAGGCAUCUUCGAUGCUGCCCUUUGCCUGUCUCUUCUCUUUUUUUUGUUUGUUUGUUUUUGAAAUCUUCUUUUUUUUUA